rnacentral:lncRNA from 1 species
CAACCCUAGUUUUCUCUCUUUCUUCAUCCAUUAAAGAGGUGUGGAUUUUAUGAUUAAUUUUUUAUCCAAAAUCACCCCUCUAAAUUAUUUUUUCUUUCCUUUUUAUUCAAAUAAGUGAUUUCACAUGUAUUUUUAAUUUUUUCUUUGUGAUUUCGUUGUCUUAAUGCGAUGUUGUGUUGGUCGUCGUCUUAUUGCAGCGUUAUUUGUUUUUCCGUCUUGUAGCGAUGUUUGUUCGAUUCAGAUUGACAUAUUAGUUUCAACUCAAUGCAUAUUCUAU